CUGAGCACAGCCCACUUCUCGCCAUGUCACUCCAGCGUGCCCAUAGGAGCCGGCGAUUCUGCCUCUCCGUGUCCCCCCCCUUUGCCAACUCUGAUUCUCGGUCCAAUGAGACGGAGGUGAGACCCCCCAGGAGGCCGAGGGUGGCUUGGCAGGCGUGGAAUCCAGAAGAGGAAGAGGAGAACCAGGUGGAGAUCAUACGUCCACGUACUACCAUAUGGGAGCUGUGGAGAAAAGCGGCCAUUCUAUGCAUCGGUGAGUUUCUGAAGAGACAGGACAAGGAUGAGCGACAGAAAAUCAAAUUCC
ensembl:lncRNA